GCUCAAGUUGCGUCGCGCCGACCCCGAUUCGCGUCUCGUGAAUCGUGAAUCCCCUCGAGCAGAGCACCGAUCCGACCGCGCACUUGUCCUUCGUUCCGUGUUUACCCAACUUGCGCUCGGCACGUUUAAUUAUAUUUCGCCCUCCUUAUCGCGCCGCUGUACCCAGCCGCUGUUUGUCGUUUUUACGGGACCCUAGCUUAAAGCUACAUCAAGGAGCAAGAAGAAAAUGCCAACAUUUGCUGUGAAAGCGGCAAAGAGUGUGACUGAAAGUAGUUCUGUAGAGAAGGGUGAGGAGCUGAAGGUUGACUUUCCAUAUCAGAGAGUGAGUUUGAAGUCACCACAGGCAGAGCCAGCAGGAAAGACACCGAACUUUGGAAUUGCGGUGACUCAGAGACAUCCAGGAAGUCCGCCUAAGAAUGGAUCCCUGGGAGGGAGUGAGGUCAUUUCUAAAACGACUGAAACAGUCAAGCAGUUGACCAUUAAUGGAUCAGGUAGCAAUGAUACUGCUCAAAAUACCAGAACAAUGGUAAGACUUGGUGGUGCCUGGGGCCUGAUCAAGCCAGACAUCUCAAGCUCAAAUGGUAAGGUUCCCAUUGUGAUGCAAAAAUCCAAGAAGCCAGAAGAAAAUGGUAAAGAAAUAUUCAAACCACCAUUUCCAUUUACUGAACAACUGCAGAAAAAAAUGAAACUGUCCACAGUGCCAAAAGUAGUGCCACUCAUUAAUACAGUGGGGAAUCAAUCUAAACUGAUUCCUUUGACAUUUCCACCAGCGAACCAAACUUCUACAACAACUCCUACAACUGGGGUUAACAGUUCAGUAUCCCAAUCUCAGUCUAAAUUGGUAAAAAAAGAUACUUCAAAAUCCAUGUCAAUCUUAGAAGCUACAUUAACGUCAGCCCCCAAAGACCAAAGUAAUGGUACUAAUAUUCCAAAAUCAAGAACAGUAACCUCAUCCUCUUCAAAUUUACCUUUGACCUCUGAUGAUCAAUCCUUAAAUCAUGAGAAUUCUCUUGAUAAAGGAACAAAUCCAUCAGCAGCAAUUUCCAAGUUGAUUAAGAAACCAAAGUGUGUUAUAAGCUAUGAGAAGGGUGUCACAAGGCUUGUUGCUGUCGAGAGAAGAACAGUGACCAUGGUUGAUGUAUCAGUGCAGGUAUCUAUUCCUCAGUUUGAUGCUGAAAAUCAAGGACAAUUGUUGACCGUACCUACCAAUGCUGUCUCAUCAGAAACAGGUUCUAUUCAGCCUCAAACAACCUCCACUUUGCCCUUACCUCAGAAACCAUUUGUUGUUGUGGAUGCAAAUGGGAAAAAAGUCUUUGCCAUAUCAAAACAAAUUUUAAGUACCUAUGGGGGAGCCAAAAAAAUUGUUAUUGAGGGAAAAGGGAUCAAGCGAAAAGCUGAUACAUCCAUUGAAAGUUUAGUCAAUGAUGAUGUAAAUAGAGCUGCCUUACCAAUAUCAGUAAAUAUCAGUCAAUCAGGGCAACCGUCAUUAUCUUCAUCUGAUUCCAGUCAAUCUAAUCUUCUUUCUGGCAAAACCUUGUCUGAUAAUCCCCCAGAUGCUUCAUUAUCAUUUGAAACUUUAACAACUUCAAGCUGUCAAACGCUUCCUAGCAUAUCAUCCUCUCAUCAAAAUUUAUGUAACUCUUCAAAUUCUAUUGGUGCACAGUAUUGUGAUACUGCCCCAAACCAAUCAGGUCUUACCGCCAGAAUAGGUACUUCUAGCAGACCAACUGUUUUACUUUCUCAGACACCUAGUAGAAGUCAUGUCAUAACUUCUGAUUCUUUGGUUUUGCCUCUUGAUGCUCCUUUUCAGUUCGAAGGCAGUUCCUCGCAAGAAACAAUUUGUGUGCCUUCAAGCAAAAUUCAAACUUUUUCCAAGAAUUCGGAUUCUAUUGUUUUGCCUUUACAUUCACCAAUAGGAACUCAGUCACUGCAUUCUGAUGAUGCUUCAAUGGGUGUUUUCCCAAACUACUUUAUUGUCAUGCCAAGUUCAAAUAAUUCAAAUAUAGAUCCUGGAAAGGCUCUAAAAGAUGCACUAAAUGAGCCGCCCACCUAUUCUCCCCUUAUGGAUUUAAUAGACGAGGUAAAGGCUGGCCAUCAGAGAAAGACAGUCAGUUCAUCAUCUCAGCCUAAGAGUAAUAAUGGGGGGCAAGUUAACAGUACUGUUGUGCCAAUGAUAACUAAAAACCCAGUUACUAGCUCCUCUAACAAUCUCAAUGGUAAAGAUCAUUCUAACCUUGGUAAGGCUGGUGGAAACUUCUCCAAAGGCAAAGUCAUUUCUGCUUCAAGUCCCAGUAAUGGAGUGUUGGAGAUGUCUGCUAAAGGUGACAUUGAAAACUUAGUCAGAUCUGCUCUCUCAGAUUUUAAACAAUGUUUGUCUAUGAAUAAAGACGGACAAUACCCAAUACAUGCUGCAGUAGAGAGCGACGAUGUAGCAGCUCUGAAACGUCAGUGCAUAGUGUUGAAAGCUCGGAGAGCCUCUGUUGAUAUCAAAAACCAACAAGAUGAGACUCCUCUUCAACUUGCACUGUACUUCGGCCAUACCCCAUGCAUCAAAGUUCUCCUGGAACAUGGUGCCAGUGGAAAUUUUUUUGAUCAGGAUGGAAAUUCUUCAUUACAUCUUGCCAUAUUGUAUGCUGGUGAUGCCCUUCGAUUUCUUCUGAUGUCUGGCAGGUUCUCCCAGUCAUUUCUAAAUUGUCUUAAUGAUGAAGGAUUUUCGGCUCUUCAUCUUGCUGCCCAAUCUGAUAAGGUUGAAGCUAUCAAACUUUUGAUAAAAUUUGGGGCAGAUGUUGACCUUCCUCUAUUUGCCUUUAUGGGAUUUCUUGCAGUAGUUUCCCUGUUAGUGGAAUUCAUGCAGAAAUCAACCAACGAUGACUUCAUUGAGGCAUUGAGUAUUAUGACUUCAAUUAUGAUGGGAAGAGUGGGCGAACAGCUCUUUUUCAUGCUGUUGAACGCAAACAUUAUAAAUCUCAACAAAUUCUUGAAGCUUGUGGAGCUAAUGUGAAAGAACCCACAUUUACCGGCUCUACUCCAUUCUCCAUAACCCGUACUGAUGCAAUUGCUCAACUUGCUAGUGGGCAAAAUACAUUUGGUGAAAUAAUUGAUUCAGAUACUCUUCUUAAACCAAGACGAAGGAUUGGAAAAGUCAAAUAAGAGAUUGUUUUUGUUAUGAUUUGUACUGAACACAAUACUGAAAACUCACCCAAAAUGUUGUGUUCCGUACUUUUCCAUUCAAAGUUAAUUUUUUAUCCAGGGUACCUCAAUUUAACCAUGAUUUAACACUAAAUGGAAGAAUGAGGUAUGAUGAAUGAUGAUGUAUGAUGAAUUCUUAUUCAAGCUUUUUGUUUUGUAUCUAUUUAUUUAUUUAUUUUCUCACGUUUAGACUGUAACAGUUAGCGUUGUUAUUUUUUCCUAUACACUUAGUAGCCUGUAUUUAAAAUUGGCCAGUUGGAAUGGUUUUUCAAUUAUCAUCUGAAGCCAGUGACGUCAUCUGUGAUCAUGUUAAUUUUGUUGUUGUAUUUCGUUUCCUCUUUUGUACAAUUGCCCUUUUUUGUGAGUGAUCUGCAAGCGUGGUGUGUAUCCUUAUCACAUCAAAUUUCAAAAGCUAAACUUUGCAACCAACUCCCAUCACUUUCUCUGCACUGAAACAUACUACAGUACAAAAUUAUGUGUCUGUUAGUGUAAAUAAUGUGUUCAUAUAUUGCUGUGAUUUUGUACUUGUGUAUAUUAAUUGUGACGCGUUGGCUGUGGCUCAUCAUUAUUGUCACAAGGAUCAUUAUUUUGUAGCCCUUUGCGCUCAGCCAAUGUGUUUAAUUGUGGCAUAGUUAAUAGUCUUCCAAAACAUGUGACUCACUGUGUAACGUGUGCGACAUCACUCAAUCUAUUUCUUUAUUAUAGAUGAACAGUACACACAAUAAAACUUUACUCAAAUCGAAAUCAAA